rnacentral:tRNA from 1 species
AGGUGAAUAGCACAGAUUGUGCGACUUGGUUUCGGCCCAAGUAGAAAGGGUGAGACCCCCUUUUCCCCUG